UUAAUUAUUUUGUAGCCUACUGUUUUAAGAUUUCUACAUCAAAAACACAUCAUUUAAAAGUAAUGAGCUAUUUUCUGUCCUGUUUUUAACCCCCCUCAUCAGAAUGCUCUGUUUGAAUAGAUGUGGAGGAUUGUAGACUCUGAAGUAAACGCCCACUGCUGUGAUCGGCUAACAGCUUUGUAUGUUUGACAGCGUACAUUCCUCAUAGAUAAACACUGCUGUGAUUUAGGUCAAAAACGCAUAAAUACUGGUAUAUCAAAUUCUGUUAUAACAGACGAAGCAACAUUGAUCACGUAAUGAAAACAACCAAGGACCAGCUGACGCAGUCUGGAACUUAUUUAAAAUAAAGUCAAUUCACUCUUUCCAGAAGGAAGGCAAUGAAAAAAUUUUUUUCCACAACUUGGAACUGUGUUGUCUUCAAAGCAUCUUUAUCAUUUGGUUUCUGUGUAGACCUGUUCAUCUCUCUUGUAAAAACUACAUGCACAAAUCGGUGGGCGGGGCUAAACAGGCAGUGAUGUUUAACCAGGCGUUGAUCUUCUUCUGUGGAGGCGGUGCUUAUCCACACUAUUACCUCAUAGAGUAGAACAUUCCACAAACUGUCAUUUGGCAGAUUGGCUUCAGUAUAAGCUUUUCAAAUGCAAUUUUUUAGACUAAGGAGAACGUUUUGAGUUCUGAAACUUACAGGAUGUUUUUAUAGUACGAUGACCUCUUAUAUGUCAAAAGAUCAAGGGAAUUUUUAUUUCUCAGUCCAUGACCCCUUUAAAUUAAAGCAGACAUGGUGGAAGGAUCAUUUAGAUGCAGAAAAGGACAAAACGGUCAAGUGUGAAACUCCGGAGGCGAAACCAGCAGUCGAGUCAUCUGAGGCUCCUGCAGAGCUUAGCCAGGGCUCUGGCACCAAAUGCUGACUCACAGAAACAAUCCUGUCAUUUUAACCGGGAGGUCAUUGACAUGGCUCUUGAGGUGUAUGAUGCGUACAUUGAGCCAGCCUAUCUGCUGUUGAAGGAUGAGCCUCUGGCUGCUGUGGACGUUUACAGUAGAUUCCCGCUGAAGCCUGUCUGUGAACAAACCUUUGACCAUGCCUUCAUAACAGGAGAGAUUGUGCAUAUUCUGAUGAAACAUCAACUGUAUGAACAUCCUCAGCUACUGCCUAACCUGCCCAAAAAAAGACAUGCAUCACUUGAAGGAAAGUUCACGACCAGUCUUCUGAGGAGAGUUUAUGCUGACAUUCAUGACAAAUCAGUGGAUGACGAGGAGCUGCAAGACUUCUUCGGAUUUAAGUGUUGGAUAUGA
rnacentral:lncRNA from 12 species